rnacentral:lncRNA from 1 species
UUAAAUUCAGACAGGCUCGGUGCAGUGACCACUUCCCUGGGGAGCCUGUUCCAGUUUGCAACCACUCUCUCUGUGAAGAACCCCUUCCUUAUGUCAAGCCUAAAUUUCCCCUGCCUCAGCUUAACCCCAUUCCUGCGGGUCCUGUCGCUGGUGUUAAUGGAGAAAAGGUCUCCUGCCUCUCGACACCCCCUUACGAGGAAGUUGUUAGGCUUUGUUUAAUUAUUCUUCAGUGUUUGCUUCUUUCCUCUGUGUUAAAUGAAACCAGCUGAGGUAGCAGUGUUCUGUCUGAAUAUAUGGUCAAUGAACUUCUGUUCUAAAGAAAAUUUAUAUCAAAAUUUGCCAAACUUAAUAUAGGCAUAUCAGAUUUUUUUUGGACAAUACAUGGAGUAAAAAUCAAAGGCAUUUUUGAGGUGACAGCAUACCACUAUUAAUCAAAUCAAUAAAAUAAAAUAAAACAUUUAUUUAAUGUAAAGAGGUAUCCAGGCCUUCAUGUCAAUAAGAAAUGCAGUUAACCUCACACCUACUGUCCUCCCAUUUUGGGACAUUCUGAACAAUAUUUAGAAUAACAAAUAAAGAAAGCAAUUAGAUACAGAGAAGUAUUAUUCCAGGAUCUGAAUCUCAACAAGAGUCCUAAAAUAAUGAAGAUGAUGUCUUACAGAUAGGAAUGAGUAUUAGCGUACAACAUGAACAUGAAUACAAACUCAUUGGAAGAAGUUUAUUGGUAGAUUACUAUCAUAUUAGAAGGAUAUAUUCAAUGUCAUACAGUAUCAUGCCAUAGCUGCUUGUCCUGGGUGUGGUCUAUUUUUCAUUAGGGAGAUGGAUGAUGAAAUAGAGAACACAUUUUUUUUUGAUUUACAAAGAAAUGUCAUACAGGGACAACCCACAAAUACUUGGCAAGACAGAGUUAGAAUUCAAAGUUGUCUCAACAGAAAUGACUUGAAGAAAACAGGAUUCGGUGCAGUGAGAGAACCAAAUGUUACCUCUGUCAGAAUAAUCAGGAAUUAGUCACCAGAGGUAAAAGCCUUGAAGUGGAGUCCAGCUGGGAGGACCAACAGAGAAGCUCUAGAAUAAUGAUCAACUGCCAUGAAAAUAUGGUAAGUCAACAUUGAUUUAGCUAAGCAGCAAAAGGAGAGAGAUGAGGAAUAAGUUCAGGUAAAAAUGUGGUCACUACAAAAAUGAAAAAAAAAUAUAUAUUUUUAUGUUCAUUGAAAAUAAACAGUAAUGGAUUUAAACUAAUAACA